GGUUGUAGCUCAGUGGUAGAGCGCUUGCCUGGCACGUGUGAGGCCCUGGGUUCAAUCCUCAACACCA
rnacentral:tRNA from 1 species